UACGGAGGGGACUAGCGUUGUUCGGAAUUACUGGGCGUAAAGCGCACGUAGGCGGAUUUGUAAGUCAGGGGUGAAAUCCCGGGGCUCACCUCGGAACUGCCUUUGAUACUGCAAAUCUCGAGUCCGGAAGAGGUGAGUGGAAUUCCUAGUGUAGAGGUGAAAUUCGUAGAUAUUAGGAAGAACACCAGUGGCGAAGGCGGCUCACUGGUCCGGUACUGACGCUGAGGUGCGAAAGCGUGGGGAGCAAACAGG
rnacentral:rRNA from 1 species